UAUUAUGUGGUCUUCUCUUGACAAAGUCUAGUUUCCUCUCUCAAGGGAGUCACCAAAUGGCAAAUAAUGGUGGUCAAAAAGUUCAUUUUGAAUUUGAAAGUCAUUGUUUGUAGCUAGUAUCAUUGGCGGCUGCAGGCAAAGUGGAACCAAAGGUACGCCAGGAAAAAAGGAAGCAUAAGGCGAAGUCCUUUACAUCCACCCUUUAUGACCACACCUCCCGUAAAUAUAGUUGUCUGCUUUCCAGCUGGAUUGUAGAGGAGAGGAUAAUGAUGCAAGCCAGCAGGCCCUACAGGUAAUAUGGACGAUGAAUGUAAAGAGCUUCACAUCAUUACCCUAUCCUUUAUAAUCCAGCCGGAAAAUAGCCAGUUGUGUUUAUGAAUGAUGUGGUCAUAGAGGGUGGAUGUAAAGGGCAUUGCCCUGUGCCUCCUUGCCCUCCGGCAUACCUCUGGUUCAACUUUUUGUGCAGUUGCCAAUGACAUUGGCGACAAGCAAUGAUUCUCAUAUUCAAAGUGAACUUCUUCACCGCCAUUAUCCUCCAUUUGGUUGAAGACUUCAAAUUCAAUAAGAGCUAAUGGUCACUCAGACAAAUCAUAAUAGGCCUUUCAUCACAAGUUCAAUAGUAGAUCAAUAUGUUGAAUUUUCUUUUUUUUCUUUUUUCCUUUUGGAGCUAGGGAGGAUUGCAUGAUCACGGAGGAGAUUUGGAUCGAGGAACCCCUCGAUUUUAUUAGUGAUGUUUUGAUUGAGAAUGGGGAGAUUGACUACUCUUAGCAUCAGCACCAAGGCAUAUCCACAACCUCAAGCCAGAAAGACUUACGUGUAGCACCCAAUUUUCAGCUGCUACCGGUAUAGAUUUACGUAGAAAUUUACAGAUCACACACUAACGAGAACUGCUAAUAGCGGGGAAUCUUGUACUCAUUUUCAAUUAACGUAAUUCGACCAAUUCUUCCUCAAAGGGAUGAGCACAUGAUGAGUUUUAAAGAAAGCUAAUAACAAUUUUUUUUUCA